CUCUGUCAUCCAGGCUGGAGUGAGGUGGCAUGAGCUCGGCUCACUGCUACCUCCACUUCCCAGGUUCAAGUGAUUCUCAUGCCUCAGCCUCACCAGUAGCGAGAUUACAGAUGUGCACCACCACACUCAGGACUUAGAAGAUUUUCUUUGCUCCCAGGAGAUGAAUAAGAAACAAAAUGGCAUUCUCAAGACUAUACUUUCAGGGAUCAUUUCUAUAGUUUGUUACUAGAGAAGUUUCUCUGAACGUGUAGAGCACCGAGGCAUGGGCAAGGACUUCAUGUCCAAAACACCAAAAGCAAUGGCAACAAAAGCCAAAAUUGACAAAUGGGAUCUAAUUAAACUAAAGAGCUUCUG
rnacentral:lncRNA from 10 species